rnacentral:lncRNA from 1 species
GAAAGAAGUGAAGCCUCCCGAUGACAACAAAAUUCUCCUCGGGCCAUAUCAUUGGAACCCCUACCAUUUUGGUGAAGAUUAAGAGUAACAAUGCCCGACCUGUGUCACCUUUGAAAGAGACUGGAUGCAAACCGACCGCAACUUCUAUGGCUCCAUCGAGUUCAUCUGAGGGAGAUGCUGUGACAAGCAUAUCACUUUUGGAGUCGCCCC